rnacentral:rRNA from 1 species
AGAGCGAACGCUGGCGGCAGGCCUAACACAUGCAAGUCGAACGGACCCUUCGGGGUUAGUGGCGGACGGGUGAGUAACACGUGGGAACGUGCCUUUUGGUUCGGAAUAGCUCCUGGAAACGGGUGGUAAUGCCGAAUGUGCCCUUCGGGGGGAAAGAUUUAUCGCCAUUAGAGCGGCCCGCGUCUGAUUAGCUAGUUGGUAAGGUAAUGGCUUACCAAGGCGACGAUCAGUAGCU